GUGAGAGAACAGCACCACCCCUAAUGAUGGCAGCCAAGGAAGGGUUCGGAGGAGAUCUUGGUGCAGGUUGGCGUGCGCUCUUGCACUGUGAGAUCGCUCCAGUACACGAAUGAGAAGAGAAGAGGCGGAUCAGAUGACUGUGGCGAUAAUGUACUGAAACCAGAAAAAUGGAUGAUGAGGUAAAAAAUUCAACACACCUGCACAUUCUUCUA
rnacentral:lncRNA from 1 species